CCUACGGGUGGCAGCAGUGAGGAAUAUUGAUCAAUGGACGAGAGUCUGAACCAGCCAAGUAGCGUGAAGGAUGACUGCCCUAUGGGUUGUAAACUUCUUUUAUCUGGGAAUAAAAUGUUCCACGUGUGGGAUUUUGUAUGUACCAUAUGAAUAAGGAUCGGCUAACUCCGUGCCAGCAGCCGCGGUAAUACGGAGGAUCCGAGCGUUAUCCGGAUUUAUUGGGUUUAAAGGGAGCGUAGGUGGAUUGUUAAGUCAGUUGUGAAAGUUUGCGGCUCAACCGUAAAAUUGCAGUUGAAACUGGCAGUCGUGAGUACAGUAGAGGUGGGUGGAAUUCGUGGUGUAGCGGUGAAAUGCUUAGAUAUCACGAAGAACUCCGAUUGCGAAGGCAGCUCACUGGACUGCAACUGACACUGAGGCUCGAAAGUGUGGGUAUCAAACAGGAUUAGAUACCCGAGUAGUC
rnacentral:rRNA from 1 species